UGGGGAAUUUUGGACAAUGGGCGAAAGCCUGAUCCAGCAAUGCCGCGUGUGUGAAGAAGGCCUUCGGGUUGUAAAGCACUUUUGUCCGGAAAGAAAUCCUUGGCUCUAAUACAGUCGGGGGAUGACGGUACCGGAAGAAUAAGCACCGGCUAACUACGUGCCAGCAGCCGCGGUAAUACGUAGGGUGCAAGCGUUAAUCGGAAUUACUGGGCGUAAAGCGUGCGCAGGCGGUUUGCUAAGACCGAUGUGAAAUCCCCGGGCUCAACCUGGGAACUGCAUUGGUGACUGGCAGGCUAGAGUAUGGCAGAGGGGGGUAGAAUUCCACGUGUAGCAGUGAAAUGCGUAGAGAUGUGGAGGAAUACCGAUGGCGAAGGCAGCCCCCUGGGCCAAUACUGACGCUCAUGCACGAAAGCGUGGGGAGCAAACAGGAUUAGAUACCCUGGUAGUCCACGCCCUAAACGAUGUCAACUAGUUGUUGGGGAUUCAUUUCCUUAGUAACGUAGCUAGC
rnacentral:rRNA from 1 species